rnacentral:sRNA from 1 species
GCUGGGCACAGUGGCACAUGCCUGUAAUCCCUGCCAUUUGGGAGGCUGAGGCAGGAGGAUUGCAAGUUUGAGGCCAGGGCCAGCAUCAGCAACUUAGCAAGACCUUGUCUCAA